UGACAGGGCAGGUUGUACCAUUGCGCUCAGAGCUGUAUUCUUUGCUCCACUGACUUUGUCCCCACGCAGUGAAAGCACAAUGGAUAAAAUGGGAAAGAUACACUGCCAGAAGAUACAAAGCAGAAGAAACAACCAUUCUCUUUUGGCUUGAAAGUAUCAGAAUUGUUGUCAUCCCUCACAAAUAUUAAAAAUGAGCAGCAAAAGUACCCACCACUUUUGGAGAAAUCCCUCAUCUCUCUCUUCUAUGCUAUACAGUCAGCAGUAAGAUCUAAUAUUUGCGAUGCUGCAGCAUGUAACAAACACAAGUGUCUUUCUAAUGUGUCUAUUAGUAUCAUUUGUUACAAAUAGAUGUUGAAAAUUAAAAUGCUGAAUCACCAAGCAGAGGAA